GGUGACCUGCGGAAGGAUCAUUA
rnacentral:ncRNA from 27 species